rnacentral:tRNA from 1 species
GGGGAUAUAGCUCAGUUGGGAGAGCGUCGCACUUGCACUGCGAAGGUCAGCGGUUCGACUCCGCUUAUCUCCACCA